CAGUCGCCACGGGAAUACAGAGGAUGCAAGCGUUAUCCGGAAUGAUUGGGCGUAAAGCGUCUGUAGGUGGCUUUUCAAGUCCGCCGUCAAAUCCCAGGGCUCAACCCUGGACAGGCGGUGGAAACUACCAAGCUGGAGUACGAUAGGGGCAGAGGGAAUUUCCAGUGGAGCGGUGAAAUGCGUUGAGAUCGAAAAGAACACCAACAGCGAAAGCACUCUGCUGGGACGACACUGACACUAAGAGACGAAAGCUAGGGGAGCAAAUGGGAUUAGAUACCCCCGUAGUCCCUGUCUCUUAUAC
rnacentral:rRNA from 1 species